GAUGAACGCUAGCGGGAGGCCUAACACAUGCAAGCCGAGCGGUAGAGUCUCUUCGGAGCCUUGAGAGCGGCGCACGGGUGCGGAACACGUGUGCAACCUGCCUUUAUCUGGGGGAUAGCCUUUCGAAGGGAAGAUUAAUACCCCAUAAUAUACUGGAUGGCAUCAUCUGGUAUUGAAAACUCCGGUGGAUAGAGAUGGGCACGCGCAAGAUUAGAUAGUUGGUGAGGUAACGGCUCACCAAGUCAGCGAUCUUUAGGGAGCCUGAGAGGGUGAUCCCCCACACUGGUACUGAGACACGGACCAGACUCCUACGGGAGGCAGCAGUGAGGAAUAUUGGACAAUGGGUGAGAGCCUGAUCCAGCCAUCCCGCGUGAAGGACGACGGCCCUAUGGGUUGUAAACUUCUUUUGUAUAGGGAUAAACCUAGAUACGUGUAUCUAGCUGAAGGUACUAUACGAAUAAGCACCGGCUAACUCCGUG
rnacentral:rRNA from 1 species